GAGCAUCAUGACACGCUGAUCGCACCAGCUCUGCUCGCGCAUCGGCUGGCGGAGAGCGGCACACUUGCGCGGCCUCAGGUCGCGAUCAGGAACGUGAUCGGCCUCUGGCGCACGCCGGACCGCGUGAUGGCGAGCGAGGACUGGCGGGAUACCGGCACAACGCUCACUGACGGCUAUCUGUUCGGCGAGNNNNCGUCUCGCCGACGGCUCGCCGGUGCCGAUCACGCCGGGAUCGUUCAGCGCCCCGCGCGGUG
rnacentral:misc_RNA from 1 species